rnacentral:rRNA from 1 species
UCGAUUAGAUACCCCUGCAGUCCCAGCCGUAAACGAUGCUCGCUAGGUGUCAGGCAUGGCGCGACCGUGUCUGGUGCCGCAGGGAAGCCGUGAAGCGAGCCACCUGGGAAGUACGGCCGCAAGGCUGAAACUUAAAGGAAUUGGCGGGGGAGCACAACAACGGGUGGAGCCUGCGGUUUAAUUGGACUCAACGCCGGACAACUCACCGGGGGCGACAGCAAUAUGUAGGCCAAGCUGAAGACUUUGCCUGAAUCGCUGAGAGGAGGUGCAUGGCA